rnacentral:rRNA from 1 species
AUUGAACGCUGGCGGCAGGCCUAACACAUGCAAGUCGAGCGGUAGCACAGAGAGCUUGCUCUCAGGUGACGAGCGGCGGACGGGUGAGUAAUGUCUGGGAAACUGCCUGAUGGAGGGGGAUAACUACUGGAAACGGUAGCUAAUACCGCAUAACGUCGCAAGACCAAAGAGGGGGACCUUCGGGCCUCUUGCCAUCAGAUGUGCCCAGAUGGGAUUAGCUAGUAGGUGGGGUAACGGCUCACCUAGGCGACGAUCCCUAGCUGGUCUGAGAGGAUGACCAGCCACGCGGGAACUGAGACACAGUCCAGACUCCUACGGGAGGCAGCAGUGGGGAAUAUUGCACAAUGGGCGCAAGCCUGAUGCAGCCAUGCCGCGUGUAUGAAGAAGGCCUUCGGGUUGUAAAGUACUUUCAGCGGGGAGGAAGGCGAUAAGGUUAAUAACCUUGUCGAUUGACGUUACCCGCAGAAGAAGCACCGGCUAACUCCGUGCCAGCAGCCACGGUAA